CAUGACUGGGGUGAAGUCGUAACAAGGUAGCCCUAGGGGAACCUGGGGCUGGAUCACCUCCUUAUACGA
rnacentral:rRNA from 1 species